ensembl:snoRNA U3 Small nucleolar RNA U3
AAGACUAUACUUUCGGGGAUCAUUUCUAUAGUUCUUUACUAGAGAAGUUUCUCUGAACAUGUAGAGCACUGUG